rnacentral:rRNA from 1 species
GCUUGUCUCAAAGAUUAAGCCAUGCAUGUUCAAGUAUAGCAAGUGUACAGUGAAACUGCGAAUGGCUCAUUAAAUCAGUUAUAAUUUAUUUGAUAGUGAAAUUGUACAUGGAUAACCGUGGUAAUUCUAGAGCUAAUACAUGCUGGCGUGCCCGACUUUUGCGGAAGGGCGGUAUUUAUUAGAUAACAAGCCAAUAUUCCUCCGGGUCUAUUGUGGUGAUUCAUAAUAACUGAUCGAAUCGCAAGGCCUUUGGCCGCGAUAAGUCAUUCAAGUUUCUGCCCCAUCAGCUUUCGAUGGUAGUGUAUUGGACUACCAUGGCGUUCACGGGUAACGGAGAAUUAGGGUUCGAUUCCGGAGAGGGAGCCUGAGAAACGGCUACCACAUCUAAGGAAGGCAGCAGG